GGGCUGACACACCCACUUUGAGACAACUAACUGCUAUUCAAUCUAUAACAGUGAAAAAAGUUUUUUGUUUUUAAAUGCAAGCUAUUGUGACACCAGAUAUGAGUGGCACUGUGAACUGGCAGAGUACACGUUGUAGGCCUGACACACCCGCUUGAAGACAACUAACUGCUAUUCAAUCUAUUACAGUGAAAAAAGUUUUUUGUUUUUAAAUGCAAG